rnacentral:rRNA from 1 species
UGGGGAAUAUUGGACAAUGGGCGCAAGCCUGAUCCAGCCAUGCCGCGUGAGUGAUGACGGCCCUAGGGUUGUAAAGCUCUUUUACCCGGGAAGAUAAUGACGGUACCGGGAGAAUAAGCCCCGGCUAACUUCGUGCCAGCAGCCGCGGUAAUACGAAGGGGGCUAGCGUUGUUCGGAAUCACUGGGCGUAAAGCGCACGUAGGCGGAUCUUUAAGUCAGGGGUGAAAUCCCGGGGCUCAACCCCGGAACUGCCGUUGAUACUGGAGAUCUCGAGUUCGGGAGAGGUGAGUGGAACUGCGAGUGUAGAGGUGAAAUGCGUAGAUAUUCGCAAGAACACCAGUGGCGAAGGCGGCUCACUGGCCCGAUACUGACGCUGAGGUGCGAAAGCGUGGGGAGCAAACA